rnacentral:ncRNA from 20 species
UAUCAUCGGUUUGCGCUUGGCGUACAGGAAUCUGGUGCAAGCCCAGAACGGACGCGCCGCUGUGAACACGACUGGUGAAAGCCUGUGUGUGAGUCAGAUGUUGGGCCAAGAGCAUCCUGAAUCGA